rnacentral:piRNA from 1 species
UGUCUACCCUGAUUUUAUGGUGCUUGCCUAU